GAAGAAGUCAACCAGCCAUGCAGAACAAAGAGAAAAGGAGUCAGUUUUGUGAGGAGCUGCCGUGAGAACUUGCAGAGAGAAGCUGGGGGAUCCCCAAAGCAGUACUCGGGCAGAAUCACACAAGUGAAAUCCAAGGCACAGCAAAGCUCAGUCCCUGCUAGAGGAUCACCACGUCUGCUGUUUCAGGGAUUUUGUGAGCUGUUCAAGUUCUUGGGUGUCUGUGAAGACUCUGUCAUGCCCCUGUUGCUACACAGCCUGCUCAGCUCCUCCCACAGCUCCUCCACCUGGUGCCUCAGACCCUGGGCCAGGGGCUGGCUUGCACACACCUUGACAACUUUGCCCCAGCCACCUGGAAGCCCAGAGAAGAAGAAGCUAGGCAAUGUAACAGAAUUGUGUGAGUGGAGUCCACAAUGAGAAAAAACGCAGAAAGC